AUGGAUCCGUCGAGGUCACUCCUGGAUCUCAAUCUUCUUGUCCUCCCCGCCUUCUCCUUUGUCGACGGCAGGCAGCAGAAACAUGCAAGCCGCACGCGACUGCUCCGACAAUUGGAAGACGCGAGGUGCGACGCAACGACGCGUGGUCCAUCCGGGCACGGCACCGGCGGGCACCACCACACUAGGGCACGAUUUUGGCAGCCAACACUGGCGCCCAAAUCGGAUCAACUGAACCCAGGCGUGGGCUCCUACGGGUGUGAGGAGGAGAUGACCAAGGGCGAGGGUCCGUUGAUCGGCAUCGACCUCGGGACGACCUACUCCUACGCCGGCAUGUGGCAGCAGGUUGAGAUCAUGGCCAACGACCAGGGCAACCACACCACACCCUCCUACAUCGCCUGA
rnacentral:rRNA from 1 species